UCAGUAAAUUAGCAACGAUCAAGUUUUUUAUCCAUCAACUUGAAGCAACCAAUUUACCAAUCAUUUGUUGUGUUCUUCAUUGAAUUCACUGAACUUGCUCCUCUUCUUGCAUUUUGCAGCCAUCAGUGAGUGCCGGGCAGCUGACGGUGGACCUGGUAAUUACCUGUGAGAAGGUGGGCACCACCCAGCCCCUCUGACCACAGCAGCAAAGACCAGUGCCAUGUCUUGCCUGCCCAGUCCCUUGCUGUCAUGCAGACCCCCUCAUAGAAUGAGCGACAUAACCUCCUGACUGAGCUGGUCCAGGAGGUGGUGGUCCUGCAAUGCCUAUGAGCGAUGGGACAACAACCAAAUCCCUGGCCACAGCUGCGCUACCUCACCUCCCACACAACAGAGGAGGACGUGCUAGUCUCACUUGGGGCCUUGGAGCUGGAGAACACAAAGAAAGAACAAACAACAGCAGACCUGAUGGUUCUUACGAGGCUGUUUGUGACAAGCUACACUAACUAUCUAAUCAAAGGUGGAAGAUGAAGGACAGCAAGAUGAAGAAGCAUCUCUCAGCCCUUCCUCUCGGGUGCCGGCUUUGUCAAACUCUUCAUGGAAAUUUACACUGACCUCAUCAUGGCAGAGACUGGGCAUGCACAAGGCGACCCAUUGUAGUAGCAGUGUUGUGUUCCCCCAGUGACCUGCCGACCACUGUGCUGCUCAUCAAGUUUGUGGAGGAGGGAGACAGUGCGAUGGGCACAGUCAUGCUGCUCAACUUUCUCAAUGCUUGGAAGGUCCAGGAGCCGUCCAGCUGCCCCGGAGAGCCCAGCGACCACACCCUGCAAGACAGCCUGCUCAUCCUGGGACACACACAGCCUCACCCUUCAGGCAGGAGACUGACGGGACGAGAACAACAACAACAACAACAAGAGGAGGGGGAGGAGGGUGGUACACAGGAGUGACUGGUGAGUGUUCAUUUAUCAAUAAUUUCCUUGUUCCUUCUUGUGUUCAGUUUAUUCCUACAAUAGUUUCUUUUAUGAUAAAUUCUUUGCCUUCUUUUUUUCCCAUGUUCACCUCCGUCUUCUUCCUGUCACAUUACAUGCUCCAUUUUUUUUUCCAUGUACAGCUCCGUCUUCUUCCUGUUACUUUCCACACUCCUCCGUCUGUCCCCCUCGUCUGGUAUUGUUUCAGUGAACAUUCCUUUUGUUUGUAGUGUGUGUGUGUGAGGUGGUGUGGCGUGGUGUGGGUCAGGUCACCUCCCCUAAGGGACAGGCAGGCCACACUAAGCACUGGCUCAGGAAAUACAGGAAAACUCACUCCACACUUACCAGAACAGUACAACACACAAACAAAAGAUUAUUCUCACUAUAUAAUUAUUAUAGUCCGUUUCAUUCCCAGACCAGCACAGCUCACCUGAAAAAAUAUACAUAUACUUUCAAUUCUAGCAAACACCUUAACCACUCAGAAAAAGCAGAGAGAAAGUAAUUAUGGUUUUAGGAAUGUUACAUAGUGCCAUUGUCUCUUAUUAUGAUGGAAAGAGGAAUGAAAUGUGAAGAGAUCCAAGGUGUUGCUGUGUUGAAGGCACAGGCUGCCUGGCCCACUCCUCUUAAAAACACGCUUGCCAUUCUCUGGAAUGAAGGAGUUGGCUUCUCUUACUCUCAAAGUUAAAUUUCAAGUUGAAAACACAAUUUAUAAGCAUUUAAACGUAAAUUUGAUAGUAUCGUUUGCGUUUACUACACCUCCGAGGCCAUAUGACCGUUUCCAAACGCCACAGAGUAGAUGAACCGGGUUUUGAUGGGUGGUUUUCCAUUUCUUGGCACCGAGGUCGUGUAAAACUAUCACCACCAUCACAAGACAGUUCAUGGCCCAUAUUUAUAAACGUCUCUAGCUCCUAUAUAACUAUUUUUAAGGCCACAGAAUAGAUUAUCCUGAUUUUCAUGUGUGACUCUCCAUUUCUUGGCACCGAGGCUGUGUAAAACCAUCACCACCAUCACAAAACAGUCCCAGCAAGUUCUAGGAGAGGCUUUUCAAACAUCCAUAUUAUAACUGUUAAAAAUACCUUAAAUUCACUGAGAAAUAAUGCAUACCAAAGACCAGGUUAUAAAUGUUUGUACCCUUUUUUUAUUCCAUGCCCAGAGGCAGGAGACUGUCAGUAGCAGGAGGGAGGGAGUUGACGACACAAAGAGCCUUGUGUGUGUGUGUGUGUGUGUGUGUGUGUGUAUUUGCCUAGUUGUGAAAUACAGGAAAAGAACCGUACUAGGCUCGUGCUGUCCCGUCUCCAUAACGCUUAUUAUCCAGUUUGGCUUUAAAUUCAUAAAUUUUUUUUGCACACACAGUCUCCUUGUCAGUCCGUUCCAUGUUGUUAUGCUUCUGUAUGGAAAACUGUAUAUCUUGAUGUCUCUCCUACAGUCGCUCUUCUUCAAUUUCUUACCAUUGCCUCUUGUCACACUUCUGUCACGUUCCACUAGGUCUUCCUUGUCCAAUUUCUCCAAUCCCUCUUGUAUCCUGUACAAUGCUAUUAGGUCCCCUCUCUCUCUUCUGCUCUCCAGUGUUGUUAGUCCUAAUUUCUCCAGUCUUUCUUCUUCAGUAUGUUCUCUCAGUUUCUGGUAAUUUAGUCGCUGUUCUUUGUAUUCUUUCCAACUUUCUAAUUUCUUUCUUCAAUCUAGGUGACCACACUAAUGCUGCAUAUUCCAGUCUUGGACGUAUCAUCCAUGUUAUCAGUUUCUUCACCAUUUCUUCAUCUAAAUAUGUAAAUGCUACUUUAAUGUUUCGAAGAAGAUUGUAUGUUUCCCCAGUUAUCCGGUCUAUGUGUUUUCCAAAGGAUAACUUGUCUGUUAGGAUCACUCCCAGAUCUUUUUCUUCAGUUUUUUUCAUGAUUCUUUCAUUACUUAGAGAGUAGUUCCCUGAUAUUCGUCUACUGCUCCUACCAAACUCCAUCACGCUACACUUCUCUGUAUUGAAUGUUAUUUCCCAUUUGCGUGACCAUUCUAUCGAAAUCUUGGCUUCAUUAGCCACCCUCUUCAUUAUUUUAGCAUCAUCAGCAAACAUAUUCAUAUAGCUUGUCAACCCUUCUGUCAUGUCAUUAAUAUAAGUUACAAACAUAAUCGGAGCCAGCACCGAUCCUUGAGGGACUCCACUCGUCACUACCAUCCAGCUUGAUUUAUUGUCCCUGAUUACUGUUUUCAUUUCUCUCUUCGUCAAAAAGUCCAUAAUCCAAUCCAAUAUAGAACCACCCAGACCUCCAACAUGAUUAAGUUUCCAUAUAAAUUGCUGGUGUGGUACUUUAUCAAACGCCUCCUUUAAGUCCAGAUACACACAAUCUGCCCAACCGUCUCUUUCCUGUACUAUAUCAAUUACUCUUAAAUAGAAGCUGAUCAGAUUAGUUACACAAGACCGUCCUCCUCUGAAUCAGAAUUGGCUAUUUGUUAAUAUACUGUUUUCUUCUAAAUACUCCACCCAUCUGUUUUUCUUAUAAUUUUCUCACACAUCUUUGCUACUACACUUGUUAAUGACACUGGCCUAUAGUUCAACGGGUCUUCCUUACUUCCUCCUUUAUGUAUUGGGACGAUGUUAGCCCUCUUCCAGUCUCUUGGUGCCUUCCUUGUGCUAGUGAGACAUUAAUCAAGUGUGUGUGUGUGUGUGUUUGUAUGUGUGUGUGUGUGUGUGUGUUUGUAUGUGUGUGUGUGUGUGUGUGUGUGUGUGUGUGUGUGUGUGUGUGUGUGUGUGUUUUCAAUGGGUUCAUGUACAUUUUUUUUAGGCUGUGUGUGUAUGUAUGUUAUUGACAAGAACUAAUUCUCUCUCUCUCUCUCUCUCUCUCUCUCUCUCUCUCUCUCUCUCUCUCUCUCUCUCU